UGAACUGUUCACACCCACCAGCUGCCA
rnacentral:piRNA from 1 species